GAUGAACGCUGGCGGCGCGCUUAACACAUGCAAGUCGAACGGAUAGGCCCUGCUUGUGUGGGUUUCACGUGUGGCGAACGGGUGUGUAACACGUGCGUAACCCGCCUUUCACUUGGGGAUACCUUCAGGACCGUGGGGAUAAUCCCGUACUUCGGCACCUCCGCCUGGGUGGGUCUUGGAAGCUUUCGGCGGUGGGGGUUGGCCCCGCGGCUUUUCAGCUUGUUGGUGGGGUACUGGCUUACCAAGGCAUUGAGGGGUAGCCGGCCUGAGAGGGUGACCGGCCACAUUGGGACUGAGAUACGGCCCAGACUCCUACGGGAGGCAGCAGUGGGGAAUAUUGCACAAUGGGCGGAAGCCUGAUGCAGCAACGCCGCGUGCGGGAUGACGGCCUUCGGGUUGUAAACCGCUUUCGGCUGUGACGAAGCGAGAGUGACGGUAACGGGUAAAGAAGCACCGGCUAACUACGUG
rnacentral:rRNA from 1 species